GAUGAACGCUGGCGGCGUGCUUAACACAUGCAAGUCGAACGGAAAGGCCCAAGCUUGCUUGGGUCCUCGAGUGGCGAACGGGUGAGUAACACGUGGGUGAUCUGCCCUGCACUUCGGGAUAAGCCUGGGAAGCUGGGUCUAAUACCGGAUAGGACCACAUUUUGGAUGGUGUGGUGGAAAGUUUUUCGGUGUGGGAUGAGCUCGCGGCCUAUCAGCUUGUUGGUGGGGUAAUGGCCUACCAAGGCGUCGACGGGUAGCCGGCCUGAGAGGGUGUACGGCCACAUUGGGACUGAGAUACGGCCCAGACUCCUACGGGAGGCAGCAGUGGGGAAUAUUGCACAAUGGGCGCAAGCCUGAUGCAGCGACGCCGCGUGGGGGAUGACGGCCUUCGGGUUGUAAACUCCUUUCGCUAGGGACGAAGCGUUAUGUGACGGUACCUGGAGAAGAAGCACCGGCUAACUACGUG
rnacentral:rRNA from 1 species